rnacentral:rRNA from 2 species
UACGUAGGUGGCAAGCGUUGUCCGGAUUUACUGGGCGUAAAGGAUGCGUAGGCGGAUUUUUAAGUCAGAUGUGAAAACCCCGGGCUCAACUUGGGGACUGCAUUUGAAACUGGAAAUCUAGAGUGCGGGAGAGGAAAGUGGAAUUCCUAGUGUAGCGGUGAAAUGCGUAGAGAUUAGGAAGAACACCAGUGGCGAAGGCGACUUUCUGGACCGUAACUGACGCUGAGGCAUGAAAGCGUGGGUAG